GAGAAACUAAUUUGGAGUUACAAUGGGAAUCAAUAAAGAAGGAAAUAAAUUAAGUCUUCUUAAUCGAAUCACAGAAUAUUAAAGUUGAAAAAGGUAGCUAGUCAAGAUCAUUAGCUGGCCCUUCAAUUUCCAAGUAGCAAUCUGAAGCCUAGAGGACUGAGGUUAAAUAACUUGCCCAAGGACAUCUAGCUACCUAGAGACCAGACCUGAGUUUUGGUUUCACCUCUGUUACUUAGAGUUGUCAACUGAUGAUAGUGCUAAGAGCUAUUAUUAACACUCUGACCCUAGUUUCUCACUAGAAACUAGGCAAGAAGGUAUCUGGCACCAGCUUGUCUUAGGCCAGUAUAGCCUAGGACAGGGGUUGACAGAUUUUUUUUCUUUGAGGCUUCUCAGGCCACAUAGUUCUCUGUCACAUGAUGUGUGUGUUUUGUUUUGCUUUGCUUUCUUUUCUUAAAUCCCUUUAAAACUGUAACAAUAAUUUUUAGCUACAAAAACAAGCUGUGGGCUGGAUUUGGCCCAUGGUCCAUAGUUUGCCAUUUCUGAUCUAGUAUGUCAGUUCCUUUGAGCUUUAGCUGUCUUCUAACAGGAAUCCAUCACUUGAAGAUCAAGCUUGUGACCGAAUUUACCGAGUAGGGCAGCAGAAAGAUGUUGUCAUACACAAAUUUGUUUGUGAGGGAACAGUAGAAGAAAAGAUCUUACAGCUCCAAGAAAAAAAGAAAGAUUUGGCCAAACAAGUUCUAUCAGGGUCUGGAGAAUCUGUCACCAAGCUCACCUUGGCUGACCUCAGAGUCCUUUUUGGCAUCUAACCUCCUGUGGAUAAGGGUUCAGAAUAGCACCAUUGCUGGUUUGUAUUAAGGUCUGGGAAUAACAACCUAACCAUGAGCCUUGAACUCUGUUCUUUGCAUUUCAAUUUCACCGUCAAGCCUUUCACCUUCCUCAAAAUGAGGCAUAAUCUUAUCCCCAGAAUUGAGGAAACGUUAUG
rnacentral:sRNA from 1 species